ensembl:lncRNA
CGCCCCGCGGCCCCCCGCCCCCCCUAACGCCCCCCACCACCACAGCGGACGGGGUUCGGUGCGAAGCUCUUCGGGCGCGAAAAGGGGCGGAGUCACGUGGUGCCUGACUGCCCUCAGCGCGGGUGUGGCGGGAUACGCAAGAAAUUAGCGCAUGGGGCAGAUACUCUCAUCAUUCACAUCUCCAUAGACAGCUCAACUCAGUUUGGAAGGAACAUGGGCCACUAUAGCAGAGAACACAGUGGUGAAGAUUCCCAGAUGUGAUAUUUCAGAGUUUUAGAAGAAACUGUUACCUGAAGAACUUC